ensembl:lncRNA
CCGGGGAAGGCGGGGGACCCGGGACUUCCAAGUGUGUGGACUGUUAACCACUGGACUACCAGGGAAACCCUCAGCAAGGUCUGUUAAGUGACUGAUCCAUUGAUCGAUUCAUUCAACAGACAUGCGGCCACUUGAAUUCCUUUGGUGAUGGUGCUUUAGCAGAGGACUAAUGCACGUCAGAGUUUUGCACAAAAAGCACACCGUAUGGGCGUCGCCGGUGGCUCCGUGGUAAAGACUCCGCCGGCCGAUGCCGGAGACACGGGCUGGAUCCCCGACCCGGGAAGACCACAAGCUGAGGAGCAGCUAAGCCUCCUGACAACCGCUGAGCCUCUGCUCUCGAGCCCGGGAGUUGCGACUACUGAGUUCGCGUGCUGCAGCUGCGGAGCCCAGGUACCACAGCUACCGAAGCCCGGGUCCCAGAGCCCCAGCUCUGCAAGGAGAGAAGCCGCUGCCACGAGAAGCCGACGCCCCAACGACUCGAGUGCAGCCCCUGCUCACCGCGACUGGAGAAAGCCUGUGUGCUGCAAGGAAGACGGCGCACAGCCUAAAGUAAGUAAACAAGUACAUAAAAUUAUUAAGGGCUUCCCUGGUAGCUCAGUUGGUAAGGAAUCCGCCUGCAGUGCAGGAGACCCUGGUUCAAUUCCUGGGUCGGGAAGAUUCGCUGGAGAAGGGAUAGGCUACCCACUCCAGCAUUCUUGGGCUUCACUUGUGGCUCAGUAACUCAGUUGGUAAGGAAUCCACCUGCAGUGCACGAGAAGUGAAGUGAAGUCACAGUCGUGUCCGACUCUUUGUGACCCCAUGGACUGUAGCCUACCAGGCUCCUCAGUCUGUGGGAUUUUCCAGGCAAGAGGACUGGAGUGGGUUGCCAUUUCCUGGUUCAAUUCCUGGGUCGGAAAGAUUGGGUGGAGAAGGGAUAGGCUACCCAUUCCAGCAUUCUUGGGCUUCCCUUGUGGCUCAGUUGGUAAAGAAUCUGCCCACAAUGCCAGAGACCUGGGUUCGAUCCCUGGGUUGGGACGAUCCCCUAGAGAAGGGAAAGGCUACCCCGUCCAGUAUUCUGGCCUGGAGAGUUCCAUGGACUGUAUAUCCGUGAGGUCAUAAAAAUAAAUAAAUAAAUACAUUGAACUAUUUUUAAAGUAUAUGGCAAAUAAGCUGUUUCCAUGUAAUAUUUUGUCUAAUAGUUAAAGUAAUUAUGCUCAUUAUAAAAAUUGGGGGAAACUUUGGAAAGUGUGAAGAAGAAAAUAAAUAUCACUCAUGAUCUCACUGCCUGUUUAUAACACUGCUAACUUUGAGAUAUACCCAUGGAUACAUGAGUAUGUAUAUCACAUACAUACGUGUAAACAAGGACAAGAGAAGAGCUUUGGUAAUUUUAUUGCAUACGAUUCUGUUUACUCCUAUGAACUUCAUGCUCUGAGCACUGUCUCCUGUCAGUACAGAAUUUUUUAUAAACAGUUUUAAGGGUUUGGUGGUAAAGCACUUCGUGGGCACAGCAUAAUGUUUCUCUCAGGAUUAUACAAGAAGGCUGUUUUCAAUUUUUCGCUAUUAUAAACAAGCUACAAUGAGCAUCCUUGUCCCAAGCCUGUAGAAUUUGUGAGGAUGAAAAGGGAUGAUCCAUGUAAAGUUUCAAAUAUAAGAGUGAUAAACAUUCAAAACGUUAUCCUUUCCAACUCUCUGGUUUCACCUACUUUUCUCCUUCUCUAAUUUUAAUGUAUUUUCCCCCUAAGCAGUGACAUUUGAUUUUCUUGGGCUUCAGAAUCACUGCGGAUGAUGACUGCAGUCAUGAAAUUAAAAGACACGUGCUCCUUGGAAGAAAAACUGUGACAAACGUCGUGUGCGUACUUGCUAACUUGCUUUGGUUAUGUCUGACUCUUUGCAACUCUAUGGACUGUAACCCACCAGGCUCCUCUGCCCGUGGGAUUCCCCAGGCAAGAAUACUGGAGUGGGUUGCCAUGCCCUCUUCCAGGGGAUCUUCCUGACCCAGGGACUGAACCCACAUCUUCUGUGACUCUUGCAUUGCAGGUUGAUUCUUUACCAUUUAGCCAUUAGGGGAGCCCAAUAUUCAUGUAUGCACACAUAUAUCUGAAAGUCAACAAUAUUCUAAAUGGCUAAUAGGUUCAUGAGUGAUAUUUAUUUUCUUCUUCACACUUUUCAAGGUUUCCCCCAAUUUUUACAAUGAGCCUAAUUACUUUAUCAGGUAGUCAAAAUAUUUCAUGGAAAUAGUUUAUUUACAAUAUGCUUUUCAUGCAUAUCUCUGAACACCUAUUCUUCCCCAUUAUAAUGCUGUCAUCAGUGGGAUUCAGCAGUUCACGUAGAGAUUUUUUGCUCAGUUAUCCCACCCUCGUGAGCCAAUCUCCUUGAGUCUGUGCGGUGUUCCAGAUCUAGAUGUGACUUUCCAUUCAUCUUUGCAGCUUUGGCCACCUCCCUGCCCAAAGCUCUGGCCCUGGGGCCAAGUCCCUCCGUCUCUUUCCAGCCCACCAUUGCCAGCUCUGGCCCUGGGGCCGAGUCCCUCUGUCUCUUUCCAGCCAACCAUUGCUAGCCUCCUUCCUGCAUCUUUACCUGGUGCUGCUGAGUUCUUAGACUGCUCAUGGCCAAGCCAGGACAAAACAACAGCCUCUGGCGUCCUUCUGGCCAGUUUGUAGCUACGAGGAGGAGCAGCAGCCGCUGGCGGAAAACAUGUCAAAUAGCCCUGGCUCCUAUGGGAAUCACAGAGGUGAAAAAACAUCCUUUUCUUGGUGAAGCACCACUGUGGGAUUGCAAAGUCCCAGGACCAAGACUUUUUUAACUUUUUAUUUUGUAUCGGGGUAUAGCCGAUUCACAAACAAUACUGUGAUCAUUUCAGGUGAAUAGUGAAGGGACUCAGCCAUACAUAUACCUGUAUCCAUUCUCCCCCAAACUCCCCUCCCAUUCUGACUGCCUCAUAACAUUGAGCAGAGUUCCCUGUGCUGUACAGGAGGUCCUUGUUGGUUAUCCAUUUUAAAUAUAGCAGUGUGUACAUGUCCAAGACUUUCAUGUGUCUCUUUCCAGUGAAGUGGCUGAAGGUCUGGAGCUGAAGUUGCAAACGCCAUAGCAUCCUUGACUCUCAAGUCCAGGUUGAUAAAGAUCCGAAAGGCCCUCUGGGUCAGCCUUCUGCGUCAUGUGGAAGUCCCUGCUACAGACCUUUGUGUGGGAGUCACAGGUCUCUGUACCUGUCUAGCAGAGCCCACUGGGGGCUUAGUCUCUAAUUAAAACACCUCUCUCACACUAAAUCGGAGAAGGUGAUGGCACCCCACUCCAGUACUCUUGCUUGGAAAACCCAUGGAUGGAGGAGCCUGGUGGGCUGCAGUCUGUGGGGUCGCUAAGAGUCGGACACGACUGAGCGACUUCACUUUCACUUUUCACUUUCAUGCAUUGGAGAAGGAAAUGGCAACCCACUCCAGUGUUCUUUCCUGGAGAAUUCCAGGGACGGUGGAGCCUGGUGGGCUGCCGACUAUGGGGUCACACAGAGUCGGACACGACUGAAGUGACUUAGCAGCAGCUCACACUAAAUGGGAUAUUAUCUCCAGUUUCUUCUUCUCCCUACUUGUUCAGCCAGGUACGCUGCCAGGCUCAUGGGAUGUCAAGUCAAGUCAAUUUCAGGAUUUGUUCUUCUUUAUUGUUUAACGUUUAGUGUGCAUAGUAUUAGUUGCUCAGUCGUGUCCGACUCUUUGUGACCCCAUGGACUGUAGCCCGCCAGGCCCCUCUGUCCAUGGACUUCUCAGGCAAGAAUAGUGCAGUGGGCUGCCAUUUCCUUCUCCAGGUGAUCUUCCCAACCCAGGGAUCAAACCCAGGUCUCCUGCAUUGCAGGCAGAUUCUUUACCAUCUGAGCCACCAAGGAAGGCCCCCCCCCCCCAAUAAAUAAAUACAUGUUUUUUAUAAUAUUUUUUAAUUGGAGGAUAACUGCUUUACAACACUUCUGUGGUAUAACAGCUGCGUUACUUCUGUGGUAUCACACCGUGAAACAGCUCUAUGUAUGCCUAUAUCCCCUCCCUCCAGAGCCUCCCCUCCCUUCCCCCUACCCACCCC